UACGGAGGGAGCUAGCGUUGUUCGGAAUUACUGGGCGUAAAGCGCAUGUAGGCGGCGAUUCAAGUCGGGGGUGAAAUCCUGGAGCUCAACUCCAGAACUGCCUUCGAUACUGCAUUGCUGGAGUAUGGAAGAGGUAGGUGGAACUGCGAGUGUAGAGGUGAAAUUCGUAGAUAUUCGCAAGAACACCAGUGGCGAAGGCGGCCUACUGGUCCAUCACUGACGCUGAGAUGCGAAAGCGUGGGGAGCAAACAGG
rnacentral:rRNA from 1 species